GAGAGCAUGAAAGGGUUUCAUUAUCAAAAUGUGGGAAGGCUGUGGGCCCAAGCCCUCAAUCCUUUAAGUACCUAGCAACAUCUUUGUAAGCAAGAGAGGAAGAGUGAUAGGGUUUUCCAUGCAAAAGCUCGUAUUAGCAGGCCUGAACCAGGAUACAGCCAGCCCAGCCUGUCAUUCAAGAGACCAGCGGGAGACUUGAAGGAGGCCCCAUGGUUCUCCGCUGCUUCCAUCACAACCUCUUCUAAAAGCCCCAUGUGGUGAAACUUAAAUUCUGCAACAACAACAAAAAGAAGAAGAAGAAGAAGGCGACUAACAAUUUCCAGAUCAUGGUGGGAAAAUACUCAUCUAGCCACAUGAAGGAACAUUAAGAAAUGAAAUUUACCACAGGAGAGUGCUGGAGAAGCUGGAAAGAGAACAAAGUUUGCUGCCUCCACUGGCCUGAGCCUCAGCUUCUCAAGAGCUGCUUCCAAACAGAGUUAAAAGUUCAUCAACAUUUAUUUGUAUGCAAUUCUACAUAGAAACUGGAAAACAAACUCUCUUUUAAUCCAUCCAAAUAAACAGGCUGGCUGCAAUGCAGACCAUGGAAUCACCAGUGCUUCUCACAAAAGACAAGCAGCUCCAUUAUUUGUACAGCCUUCAGGGACCUACUUCCAAGAUAUAUGGAGCACUUCUAGGUGCAGGGGAGAUUGGCAAAAAUCUUUCCCAAAAAUGCAUGCACUGCCUUAGUGCAGAACACAACAACAGCACCUGCACUGCACCCAUACUUCGUUGGAAAUCUUUGGAAGUUAGUCUACAUGUCAGCCCCACCUUUUUUAGUCCACUAACUACAAUGAUUUUGUCCAAAUGGAUUUUUGCAUAGAAUCAUGAACUUUGCAUUAAAUAUCACUGACUGGCA